AUGACGGCGUCCUGCCCGGCGGCCGGGCCCCGGCCCGUGGACCCGAGCCUGUCCGCCCUGUGCUGCUCCUCCGGCUUCGUGGUGGCGAUGCAGGGCCCGUCUGCGGAGGCACUGAUGGUGAAUGGUAAGGGUUCUGCUGGGGUUCUGGCUCCUGACGCGGUGGGAGAUGCCACUGUUUGUGUGUGUGUGUGUGUGUGUGUGCGCGCAGUGAAGGGACGCCUGGCGCCGGUGGAGCUGCUGGCUGCGCAGUGCGGCUUCGCUGUGGAGCGGCGCCGAGCAGACGUGGUGGUGACGGCUCCGUUCGCCGCCUGCGGCGUCACAGUCAAGGGAGGAAAGCACUCGCUGUCCCUUCACAGAGCAGAGGACGCCUUCACGCUGUCCUGUCCCGUCUCUCCUGCUCAUGGGCUCUCAAAGGUCCGGGCGCCGCUGAUCCGCCUCUCGCCUCAUGGGUCCAGGGAGCUGUCACGGUCCUGGGCUCCACCGUUCUACCUGGCUCCCCUGUAUUACCCCCACCCGACCCAACACUACGGCCCCGGCCCACAGGAACGGGCUGCACCUGCCUCCGACCCGGACUCCUGGGACCCCCCUCAGACUAACGACCGCCCCAGCAGGCUCACGUCCGCUGCAGAUGAACGCAAAGGCCCGAGUCUUGUUCAUCCAGGUUUGCAGCUGAGACCAGAACCGCCCCCUCCGCAGCCCCCGGGUCAGGCCUUUAAUCCUUACUACUACUUCUACCAUCACCCCAAGAUUCCUCGUCCUGGUCCAGGUCCGGAUGCUGCUGAACACCUGCCUCUGAUUGGUUCUGAGAAGCUGGAGCUCCAGGACUGGGACGUUGCCUCAGACCAGUUGCCUCAUCCUGCGUUUGGGCCUCCCCUCCCUCCCCCUUCUCCCCCUUCCUUCCAUCACCUCCCAUUUUUUGCCAGCAGUGGCUCCGUGCGUCCUGACGUAGAAACAAAUGCGUUUCCCGCUGAAGACCACGACAAGCCCUACAUCCAUUAUCUCCAUGACACCAGAACCGCCAAGAAGCGCCAGCUGUUUCCUGAGGACGACGUAACGGCAGCUCCGGAUGACGGGAGCCGCUCUGCGCCUCCGGCCUCUCGCUCAUCCGGCCUGCAGCCUCCUCACUCGCACUACUUCUCCCCUUUUUAUGUCCACGGACCGGCUGCGGCUGAGCGCCGUCUCCCUCCAGUAAACCCUGAUGGAGCCACAGGCCCAGCAGAGCGGUACCCCCACCCUGAAGCUGCUGCAGAGCCGCGUCCAGCCUCGGUCACGGACUCUGGAGACGCCCCCCCCCACGGCUUCUACUCUGCGCCUCCUCCACACGGCCGCUCCGUGCAUCCCAGGGGUCAGAAGGGUAAAAUACCUUAA
rnacentral:lncRNA from 1 species